GCGGUCCCUUUAGUGUUGUUGUGGUCAGCUGGUGGCGUCAAGCAGAGGUUGUUGGGGUUUAAUUGAGUGAAGAUGGAGGAUAAAUAUUCAUGAGGAAUUGGUAACCAUUUAUUGUAAGAAUGUCUCGUAAAGAGACGCUGACCACGGCCAGCCAGAGGGCGGGGCCAGAAGGUGGGUCAGAAUCGCAGGUGUCAUCACCAAGUGAAGAUUGCAAGUUUGUCAAUGCUGCCCACCCAGAAGCUGUGCUUGGUGGACUGAAUGACUUGCGAAAAAAAGGACACUUCUGUGAUGUGACCUUAUGUGUAGAUGGGCAGACAUUUCCUGUACACAGAUCGGUUUUGGCAUCAUUCAGCCCCUACUUUAGAGCCAUGUUUUUGAGCAGCUUAGCAGAGUCACAAUCAGAGCACGUAACCUUAAGUGGAGUGGAUGCAAGUAUGGUUUCCCUGCUGUUAGAUUAUGCUUAUACUUCUACAAUUACAAUAACAGAGAGUAAUGUUCAGGCCCUCCUAAGUGCAUCAAACCUAUUAGAAGUAUCAGCUGUGCGAGAGGCAUGCUGCCGAUUCCUAGAACGUCAUAUUGACGUAUCAAAUUGUGUUGGAAUCCACUGCUUUGCUGAAGCACAUGCCUGCCAUGAGCUCACCAAGAAAGCCAAAGCCUAUACAUUAAGAAAUUUCACUAAUGUAGUCGUGGGAGAAGAAUGGUUGAAUCUUCCUGUCGAUAAGGUUGUAGAGAUCAUUACUGCUGACGAGUUAGAAGUGGAGAGGGAGGAGCAUGUGUUUGGAGCUGCCACAGCUUGGCUUCACCAUUCCUACCCAGCGAGAGCUCCCACUUUCCACAAGAUCUUGGAGAAUGUGAGACUGGCCCUUGUUAGCCCUUAUUUUUUAGUGGAUGUUGUGGAAGGAGAAAUGGCCGUGAGGUCCUCGCCGGAGUGCCGUGUGAUAGUGGAGGAGGCGAGGCUUUACCAUCUCCUUCCCGACAGACGCCACCAGCUGACAUCCCCCAGAACGAGACCUCGAAGGAACACGAACACAACGACUGUGAUUGUGGCAGUGGGCGGUGAGGAUAACAAACUUGUGUUGCGAUCAGUUGAGUGUUAUGACCCACAUGCUCACUGCUGGAGGAGUCUCUCUUGUCUACCUUUUGCUGUGAGCAAACAUGGACUGGUUGUCUCUGGAGAAAAUGUUCUGUAUUUGGCGGGUGGGGAGUUUCCCGAUGGUACUGUGACACGGUGUAUGUGGCGCUACGAUCCUGUGUUGGAUGAGUGGCACGAUCUAGCUCCCAUGUCAAUGCCAAGAUCUGAGUUAGGAGCUGCUUCUCUGGACGGAUAUAUUUAUGCUGUUGGUGGAUGGGAUGGUUCCAGCCGAUUGGAUUCUGUGGAACGCUAUGAUCCACGCACAAACUCAUGGAAGGAGGUUGCCCCCAUGAAGUUGUCCCUCACAUCACCAGCUGUGGCCGCCUGCCAGGGAAAGUUGUAUGUUUGUGGAGGAGCCAUUUUAGAGGAUGGGGAUGGCAUUGACAUGGCUCAAGUGUAUGACCCACACACAGACACCUGGGAGCAGCUUCCUUCAAUGAUUAUUCCGCGGAGUGGUUCCGCAGCAGCAGUUCUUCAUGGACUCAUUUAUGUUAUAGGAGGAUGGCAUGCUUCAACAGAAAAUACAAAUAAAGUAGAGAGAUUUGAUCCAAGAACCAGUACAUGGCAGACUGUGGCUGGCAUGUGUGAGCGCCGCUAUAGACCAGGUGUUGCGGUUGUUGAUGGUAAGAUCUACAUACUUGGAGGAGAGGAUGGUUGGGAGCAUUUCCAUGACACCAUUGAAUCUUACAGCCCCACAGAAGAUAAAUGGACUCCUAUUGGUGAAAUGUUGACAGGCAGAUCGUGGCUUUCCUGCGCACCACUCAGGGUUUGUUUACCUAAGCAGUCAAGGGGAAAGAUAGUUAAGGCAAAACGUUGACAUGCAGGGCACACAAACAGGAAAGGAUAUCAUGCAGCCGACAUAUGAUGUGGAAAUCAGACAAUCUUCAAUUAUAUAAUGCCAGAAUAGUUUCUUCUUUAUCAUCAUCUAUGUUGAUUAUGCUUGUUUAAGAUCAAAAAGGAGAUUUUAGGCGACUUGGCGACACCCCUGUCUUGACAUCCACGAGCCUCCACCAAUCAGGCACGGCAAACACUUUGGAAGUAGAUGGAGCAACCUCCAACUCUUUCGAUCCUGUAAUUUUUUACAGUGAGGAUGUGUUUGUGCUCUCUGAAAAUAUUUUUUUUCUUAGAUCUAAGAGCAUGAUGUGUGAAGGGACUUUGCUGCAUUGUCAGGUUGACAAAGUGUUUUAAAAAUAUAUAUAUAUUAAAUGAUAAAUGGAAAACAUGCAGGAUGUUAAACUUUUUGUGUGUUUUUGAGGCUGUAGAGAGAGAAGGGAAGAUCAUUGCAGAAAUAAUGACUGUGUUCCACACACACAACUCACAUGCUCCUUUCAUUGGUGGAGGCUCAAGACCACGGCAUUGGGGUGGAAGGGGUGACCCAAAGGACACAAGCUGGAUGCUUUUUCUCAUUCUGAAAGUGUGUGUUCUUUUUCUGUUUAGCUCUUUUUCUUUUGUUCUUAUAUAUUUUCUAUCCCUUGUCUCAUUUUCUUUCCUGAAAUUUCCUCUGUUUGUUUUAUACAAGACACAUUGCUCAUUCCACCACAUUACUAUCAGUGUUUCAGAUUGCUUCUUUUAUUCUCAUGAAAAAAACGAAAGGAAAACCUGAACCUGUGUUUCUUAGAAUUCCAUUUCAUUUGAAUAGAGUUUAUCAUGUGUGGGAUGUGGUAGGGUUUUGUGUAUUGAACAUUUCUUCCUUUACAUUGAUUACAUUCAAAUGCGAUUUCUCUUUCUUUUGUUCAUUCUUUCUUUCCCCUGCCUGCUCACAAAUUAUUUUGCAGUUAAGGAAAAUAGAGAGAUACACAAUACAAAUUAUGCUCUCUAUUGUAGUCUUACAAGCUUUAUUUAGAUUUUUUAAGUAUUAUUGUUGAUUUGCUUGGAUAUUUUUUAUUUGAUGUGAUAAAAAGAAAUGUGAGAUAAUAGUGAAUGGUUAUGUAGAUAAGUUAUAUAUAUACAUAUAUAAUUGUAUAAAAAAAAUCAAACUGCCAUAACCCAUACAAAACUCAGUAUAGAGCUUUGAGUGAUGAGUUUUGUAGCUGUAGUUGUAUGCCUUUGAUGAAAAUGAUGCAAAUGAUCCUUUAGCAAUAUAUAUAACAAAAAGUAUUAAAGUGAAAAAGUAUUAAUGUCACGUACAUUUCAGUGUCCCUUUGCGCUUCAUGUAUUAUAGUCAUGGAAAUACUAAUUUGAAAAAUGUUAAAAAAAAAAAAAAAAGCCAAAAAAAGAUAUGUGAAGUUGCCAUAACUUUUAGAAAAUGCAAUAAGCUAGUAGUAUAGGGAAAUGGGAAGGGAGAAAUUCUGCAGUGAAGGCAGAAGCCAGGAAUUAGGAUUGGGUUUGAUAUAACAUCAGAUCGGAUUGCAGAUUUAUGUUAGAAGUUUUGGGUGUGAUGUAUGAAGAGUUUAGUUUAUUUCUUAAAUAUUGCUCACAAAUGCAGCUGUUGUAAGGUAAUGAAACCUAGAUAUGAUUUUUUUUCUUUUUAUAUAUAUGGAUAAAAAGGAUUGUCAUUUCCCAGUUAGGAAUGCAUUUAGUUGCUUAGCAUUAGGUAUGGUAAUGUAGGUAACUGAGGUUGUGAUGGACAUGACGUAAGAUGUGUGAUAUACAGCAUGUUAUAUUAUGUGUGAUACCAUAUCAGUCUUAAUGUCAUACAUCCUCUGUUAGAGCAGAAUUUCAUUAGUAAGUGUAAUGUUUAGUAAGUGUUUUUUUUUCAAAUUAAUCUUGGAAAGGUUGCAAAAGAUUUAUAACCACAACAUGUUAUGACCCAAACCUUUUGAAAACUAUCUCUUUUCACAAAUUUUACCACAAUUUUUUUUUUUUUUUUUUUUCAUUGUUCAUCAUUAGAUUGGACUGAUACAUAUUUUUUUUUGGUAUCUGUACAUUCUUAAAGGCAUUCAUUUAGCUAACCAGGUUUAUACCAUGGAAUAGAUUCUUUUCAUUUGCCUUAUAUGAGAAUAUGCCAUGUAUCACAGAGUUCAUUGUAGCCUGAAAUGUAUUUUAUCUCACUCUGAUCUUUACUUCCAUAUUAAGAAUUUGUUUUUGUAUGUAUGAAUAGCAUAUGUCAACUAUUCAUCUUUUUUACCUCUCAGUAUUUUUAAUUUAAGGAUCAACCUGUUUAACAUGCUCUAGCUUGUAACUGUUUCAGAAAUCUCUUAAUACCCUAGCUCAUACUUUUUCUCCUUCUUACAUACUAGCGCUCACUCUGUGCUUCUUGCCAUGUAUGACUCAAUACAAAUCAGUCAAUAGCAGUACUUUGGGGGCUUCCAAGUACAGUGUGACCCUCAUAGAACCAGCAGAGAAUUACUAGAUUAACCCACUUAAAAUGUCCCCUUGAUAUAUUUACAAUGGGUCUUUAGUAUCUGAAAUAUAACAUGGUUAGUGCAGGUGUAGUUAUGUUUUAGUAUGAAGGCCAUAAUUAUAAUAACUUUUGUGAAGGCUGCUGGUCUUUAUUCACAGACAGUUUCAGGUCUGUUUAGUUGAAAACUGAAUAUAGUGUAGUGUCAGUUGACCUUAGUAGGUGUUCAUUUUUGUAGUAUUGAGUAUCACUAUAAGUGUUUUGUGGAGAUCAAGUUUGUAUUAUGACAGGUUGCUUAAAAGAAGAAUGUAAAUGCAAUACAGUCAUGUGCUACUUAAUGUCCACAGUAUGUUUUUUUAAACAAGAUUUUGGGCAAAUUGGACACUGUACAAGCACCUUAUCAUAUAUAUAGGAUGUUGUAGUGUACCAGGUUUGACUUUAUAACAUUAGUUUUCCUGCAUUUCAUGAUACUAUUUUUUUUUACGUAAACUAAACAGAAAGAUAGAGGUGUACAAUACCAAAAAUUGAAUGUUGAAUUCCAUGGACAUAUAUGUAGUUGGAUGUUAGUAGAAAGGAUGUUAUGCAGUACAUGACUGUACUUCGUAGUUUUUACCCCUAGUCUUGAAGAAAGUUUGUUUCAGUGGCUCAUAUGAUAUUAUGUUUGACCAUAUAUUAUCUGUGAUAUGUAGUUGUACUCAGUUUAUUUUUUGGUUACAUUUUUUCAGCAUUACAAGAAAGAGGGAUUGGUUGACUUCCUAUGAUUUAUAGUUUUAUCUAUCACAAAUAGGCAGUAUUAGACUAGAAUAGGUGAGGCUUCAUUAGCACGUAAUCUGGGAUACCUAAAAUUUGGUACUUGUGCACUGUAGGCCUCAUGAAAUUUAUAUAUUGCACACAUGACAGCCUGUGUGAAUUAUCUUUUUUUUUUUCAAGUUAUUGGAUAGGAUUAUCUGAUAUUACCAUAGAUUUAUAUUAAGUUGGUUUCACCUAUUUUGUGAAAAGUAUAAAUAUAUUUACACCAUUUUUAUGCUGUUCAGGUUGUCGUAUAUUUGGCAUCACCAAAAAGGACAUGGUAUAUUUGACAGUGGCUAUGGAAUUUGUGCCAUCCAUUGUCAAUUGCUGUACCAUGUGACGUCCAUUAACCCAUAUUGUAGGUCUACAUAUCUCAGUGAAAUAAAUGAAAAUACUAGAAUUACUUUUUAUAUAUUUGAUAUCUGUAUUAGGAUACUUUAAGGAUGUAGGCUUGAGUAAUUUCUAUGAAAAAACUGGGAAGGUAUUUUCACCAGAUUGUGUAAGUUUGACAAAGUAUAAUAUAUAUACAUGAACACAUUUCUUUUAACAUCUUGUAUGUAUUUAAUCCAUUGAUGCCAAGAGUGCAUGCAUACAUACCUUAUCCACUGUUAUGUAUUGUUCAUUUUUUUAUAUACAGAUGGUUUCACAAGUGUUGAGUCACCAUGGUGUCAAUUAGUAAGGCAUACCAGACCUCAUCUGUUUACCCAGUUCCUUGAAUUUUAGAGGGCAUGUUUAACUAUUACUAUUAUUUUUGUUAUUGAUGUUAUUGUAAUAAUAAGUAUUACCAUUAUUAUUAUUAUUAUUAUAGCAAUAACAUUAAUAACAAUAAUUAUCAUAAUAGUUUUUUUCUCACAAAUAUUCAAGGAAAAGGGUAUGUUAUGAUAAUUUAUUCCCUGGUGACUUAGUGCCUUUGGAACUAUCCAUGUGUAAAAAAUAUAUUCAUCAACUAAUUCAUUAAUGAUAAUUAAAACAAAACCACAAUGGACUGUGCAUGUUCCAGGCAUCAGUUACUUUAGGUAAACAGACAGUGAGUGAAAAAAGAGAAUGAUAGUGGGUGACAGAGAGAGAUCAAAGCAAGUGAACAAACAUAGAUAGGUAGGUAAAUACAGAACUAAAACACAAAACUAGCAUGUGUGUGAGAGAGAGAACAAAAAAAUAUGAGUGAAUAUGUAUGCAUGUAUGAUUGCAUUAGAGUGAAAGACAGUGAGCAAGCGUGCGUGUGAUAAUUUGUGUUUGGACUGUCUUAAUAAAUACUGCAUAUAGUAUUGGUAACAAUGUGUUUAUGUUUUUGUUUUGUCUAACCAUCUUGAUGUGAACAUGGAUGUGUCCCACAGCAAGACAGAUCAUCAGCAAUGUCAGUGCAUUCAUAAUAAUUCAACUGCACAAUGGAACUUUUUGCCAUACUUCAAUCCAAUUUUACAUGUUCUUCAGUAUACUCAGUCUCUGGUGUUAGCCUCAGUCAUGUAAUUAGGCAAUCUUGGUAUAUCAUGUGUUAAUAACAGCCAUGUUUCAAAAGAUUAUACAAUAUGUGUAUUUUAUGAUGCCUUUUGAUAUUAUUACAUAGAAAUAUACAAAAUAUAUGUUCAGCUUCAACAGGGUAA
rnacentral:misc_RNA from 1 species